AGAGUUUGAUCCUGGCUCAGGAUGAACGCUGGCGGCGUGCUUAACACAUGCAAGUCGAACGGAAAGGCCUUGUGCUUGCACAAGGUACUCGAGUGGCGAACGGGUGAGUAACACGUGGGUGAUCUGCCCUGCACUGUGGGAUAAGCCUGGGAGACUGGGUCUAAUACCAUAUAGGACCGCAUCUUGGAUGGUGUGGUGGAAAGCUUUUGCGGUGUGGGAUGAGCCUGCGGCCUAUCAGCUUGUUGGUGGGGUAAUGGCCUACCAAGGCGGCGACGGGUAUCCGGCCUGAGAGGGUGUACGGACACAUUGGGACUGAGAUACGGCCCAGACUCCUACGGGAGGCAGCAGUGGGGAAUAUUGCACAAUGGGCGCAAGCCUGAUGCAGCGACGCCGCGUGGGGGAUGAAGGCCUUCGGGUUGUAAACUCCUUUCGCUAUCGACGAAGCCACUUGUGGUGACGGUAGGUAGAUAAGAAGCACCGGCUAACUACGUGCCAGCAGCCGCGGUAAUACGUAGGGUGCAAGCGUUGUCCGGAAUUACUGGGCGUAAAGAGCUCGUAGGUGGUUUGUCGCGUCGUCUGUGAAAUCCCGGGGCUUAACUUCGGGCGUGCAGGCGAUACGGGCAUAACUUGAGUGCUGUAGGGGAGACUGGAAUUCCUGGUGUAGCGGUGAAAUGCGCAGAUAUCAGGAGGAACACCGAUGGCGAAGGCAGGUCUCUGGGCAGUUACUGACGCUGAGGAGCGAAAGCAUGGGUAGCGAACAGGAUUAGAUACCCUGGUAGUCC
rnacentral:rRNA from 1 species